UACAGAGGUCUCAAGCGUUGUUCGGAUUCAUUGGGCGUAAAGGGUGCGUAGGCGGCGCGGUAAGUCGGGUGUGAAAUUUCGAGGCUUAACUUCGAAACUGCAUUCGAUACUGCCGUGCUUGAGGACUGGAGAGGAGACUGGAAUUUACGGUGUAGCGGUGAAAUGCGUAGAUAUCGGGAGGAACACCAGUAGCGAAGGCGGCACUCUGGGCCGGUACUGACGCUGAGGAGCGAAAGCGUGGGGAGCAAACAGG
rnacentral:rRNA from 1 species